rnacentral:rRNA from 1 species
CAGCAGGGCGGCGUGCUACACAUGCAGUCGAACGGUGAACACGGAGCUUGCUCUGUGGGAUCAGUGGCGAACGGGUGAGUAACACGUGAGCAACCUGCCCCUGACUCUGGGAUAAGCGCUGGAAACGGCGUCUAAUACUGGAUACGAGUAGCGACCGCAUGGUCAGUUACUGGAAAGAUUUAUUGGUUGGGGAUGGGCUCGCGGCCUAUCAGCUUGUUGGUGAGGUAAUGGCUCACCAAGGCGUCGACGGGUAGCCGGCCUGAGAGGGUGACCGGCCACACUGGGACUGAGACACGGCCCAGACUCCUACGGGAGGCAGCAGUGGGGAAUAUUGCACAAUGGGCGCAAGCCUGAUGCAGCAACGCCGCGUGAGGGAUGACGGCCUUCGGGUUGUAAACCUCUUUUAGCAGGGAAGAAGCGAAAGUGACGGUACCUGCAGAAAAAGCGCCGGCUAACUACGUGCCAGCAGCCGCGGUAAUACGUAGGGCGCAAGCGUUAUCCGGAAUUAUUGGGCGUAAAGAGCUCGUAGGCGGUUUGUCGCGUCUGCUGUGAAAUCCGGAGGCUCAACCUCCGGCCUGCAGUGGGUACGGGCAGACUAGAGUGCGGUAGGGGAGAUUGGAAUUCCUGGUGUAGCGGUGGAAUGCGCAGAUAUCAGGAGGAACACCGAUGGCGAAGGCAGAUCUCUGGGCCGUAACUGACGCUGAGGAGCGAAAGGGUGGGGAGCAAACAGGCUUAGAUACCCUGGUAGUCCACCCCGUAAACGUUGGGAACUAGUUGUGGGGUCCAUUCCACGGAUUCCGUGACGCAGCUAACGCAUUAAGUUCCCCGCCUGGGGAGUACGGCCGCAAGGCUAAAACUCAAAGGAAUUGACGGGGACCCGCACAAGCGGCGGAGCAUGCGGAUUAAUUCGAUGCAACGCGAAGAACCUUACCAAGGCUUGACAUAUACGAGAACGGGCCAGAAAUGGUCAACUCUUUGGGACACUCGUAAACAGUGGUGCAUGUUGUCGUCAGCUCGUGUCGUGAGAUGUUGGGUAGGUACCCGCACGAGCGCACCCUCGGUCUAUGUUGCAGCACGUAUGGUGAACUCAUGAUACUGCGGUCACUCGGAGAGGUGGGAUGACGUCAAUCAUCAUGUCCUAUGUCUUGGGCUCACGCAAUGCUAAUGCGCUACAAGCUGCAACGUAGUGGCAUCGAAUCCGAAAGCCCGCU